rnacentral:rRNA from 1 species
UAACCAGGAUUCCCUUAGUAACGGCGAGUGAACAGGGAUUAGCCCAGCACCGAAGCCUGCAAUUAUUUGACUGCUAGGCAAUGUGGUGUUUGAAUUGGUUUUUGUCAAUUCUGCUUCAUCCUAAGUCCAUCAAUGAGUACGGCUAAUAAACCGGCCCAAAGAGGGUGAAAGGCCCGUAUGGAUGAAGAUCAAGUGUGACAGAAUUGGCUUGAACUGAUUUUGGAGUCGGGUUGUUUGUGAAUGCAGCCCAAAGUGGGUGGUAAACUCCAUCCAAGGCUAAAUACUGGCACGAAUCCGAUAGCAAACAAGUACCGUGAGGGAAAGUUGAAAAGUACUUUGAAGAGAGAGUAAACAGUGCGUGAAACCGCUCAGAGGUAAACGGGUGGAGUUGAACUGGAAUCCCCGAGAAUUUAACUGAUAAGUAUGGCAUGCGCUUGGGCAUGUUGGCCAGCAUCGAGGGUCCGCUUGAUUGCGGGCCUUGGCUUUUCGGAGUUGAGGUACACGUUGCACUUGUCAGGUGUUGUGUGCUUUGGUUGCAUUGGGCUUGCUUGUCAGUGCAUUUUUUCGGGGUGAUCACCACGACCGGCGUGGUUGCCUGUUUGCCGUAGUUAAACCGGUCAGAUUUGGUUAUGUAGCUGGAUUUGGUCGGGAUGGCAGGUAGCUUGUUUGCUCAUUUGAGUUUGCAGGUGUUAUCAGCUGACUGCGGUAAAUUUGUGCAAUAUGUCGGAGAUGACGGCUUUGCUCACGUUGCCUAGCAAAUCAAGUUGGGUUUGCUUGGCACGUACUUGCAGGGCAAGUCUGUUAGUAGCCCGGUGGGUUUUGUUGGCAGUGGUGUGUAACG